rnacentral:rRNA from 1 species
CAGUCGCCACGGUAAUACGGAGGGUGCAAGCGUUAAUCGGAAUUACUGGGCGUAAAGCGCACGCAGGCGGUUUGUUAAGUCAGAUGUGAAAUCCCCGAGCUUAACUUGGGAACUGCAUUUGAAACUGGCAAGCUAGAGUCUUGUAGAGGGGGGUAGAAUUCCAGGUGUAGCGGUGAAAUGCGUAGAGAUCUGGAGGAAUACCGGUGGCGAAGGCGGCCCCCUGGACAAAGACUGACGCUCAGGUGCGAAAGCGUGGGGAGCAAACAGGAUUAGAUACCCCGGUAGUCCCUGUCUCUUAUAA